rnacentral:rRNA from 1 species
AAUGAACGCUGGCGGCAGGCCUAACACAUGCAAGUCGAGCGAGCGGCGAACAGGUGAGUACUGUCUGGGAAACUGCCUGAUGGAGGGCGAUAAGAACUGGAAACGGCAGCUAAACCCGCAUACAAUCAGAUUUGCGCUGAUGGUAUUAGCUAGUAGGUGGGGUAACGGCUCACCUAGGCAACGAUCCCCAGCUGGUCUGAGAGGCUGACCAGCCACACUGGAACUGAGACACGGCCCAGACUCCUACGGGAGGCAGCAGUGGGGAAUAUUGCACAAUGGGCGAAAGCCUGAUGGAGCAAUGCCGCGUGUGUGAAGAAGGUCUUCGGAUUGUAAAGCACUGUAAGUUGGGAGGCGGUACCAACAGAAUAAGCAACGGCUAACUUCGUGCCAGCAGCCGCGGUAAUAC